rnacentral:rRNA from 1 species
UACGUAGGGGGCAAGCGUUGUCCGGAGUUACUGGGCGUAAAGCGCACGCAGGCGGUCUUUUAAGUUUGGCGUGACAGUUGGUGGCUUAACUGCCAAAGUGCUUCGAAAACUGACAGACUUGAGGGCUUCAGAGGGACACGGAAUUCCGGGUGGAGUGGUGAAAUGCGUAGAGAUCCGGAGGAACACCAAAGGCGAAGGCAGUGUCCUGGGGAGUGCCUGACGCUCAGGUGCGAAAGCCAGGGGAGCGAACGGG